UCACCGCCAUCGUGUGGCUUUAGUAAACAGGUGAACGUUGAGAAAUAUGCAUUUAAACUCAUAAAUAUAAGUGCAAUAUAUCAAAGUUUAUUCCAUAUGUGUGCCAAUCUUCCUGUUGCCAGCAGGUGGCGCUAUCGUUAUAAUGGAAUAUUGGCCUUCAGAUGUGUUCAAGCCAGGACCCUUAUCACACAUGUGAAGUUUGUGCAAGAUCAGACAUUUUAUGCCUGAGUUAUAACAUCUUUUAUUCCCAUGGCGAGACAUCGAACUUCGUCAUGGCGACAUGGACAUGCCUUUUAACAAAAAUUCAAGAUCUUCACAACUAAACAUCACACAGGUCUUUAGAUUAGACUGACCACAAAAAAGACAUUGAUGUCAUAAAAUUUCUAGGAGUAGUUUGUCACAGUGUAAAAUAUGUCACUUCCAGUUGCCAAUAGGUGGCGCUAUGACUAUAACUGAAUAUUGGCAUGUAGAUCUGUUCAGGUGAAGAGUCUUAACAAAAAUGUGAAGUUUGGGGCGGAUUGGACAUUGUAUGUCUGAGUUAUAGCACCAUCAUUUUUCACGCCGAAUCAUCGAAAUUUGUCAGGCCGCCAUGGACACGCCCUUUAACGAAACCUCAAUUCCUUCGCAAUUUAACAUGGCAAAGGGCUUUAGAUUACACUGACCAAGUUUGGUGUUGAUCUGAAUAAAUCUCUAGGAGUUGUUCGUUAAAAUACAACCCCUGAAAAUGACAAAAACAACGCCAAUUUUGCAGGGAAAAUUCAAAAUAACCGACUUCCUGUUGGGAUUCGGAUUUCGUACCAAGAGACUUUUUUGUAGCUAUUGGUGUGUUACAUAUGUUUACCGAUUUUCGUACAUGUAUAUGACAUGUAGCUCGAGGCGCACUCCAUUGAAAAUGUAUAGGUGGCGCUAUCGAGCCAUUUUGCCACACCCAAUGGAAUAUUAGCCUCCAGAUGUGUUCAGGUCAGUACUCUUAUCAAACAUUUGAAGUCUGGGCAAGAUCUGAUAUUUUAUGACUGAGUUACAGCAACUUCUACUCCCAUGGCGAGACAUCGAACUUUGACAUGGUGCCAUGGACACGCCCUUUAACGAAAACUCAAGAUCUUCUCAAUUUAACAUCGUACAGGCCUUUAGAUUAGACUGACGACAAAAAAGACAUUGAUGUCAAAAAUUUCUAGGAGUAGUUUGUCGCAGUGUAAAAUAUGUCACUUCCUGUUGCCAAUAGGUGGCGCUAUGACUAUAACUGAAUAUUGUCAUGUCAAACUGUUCAGGACAGGAGUCUCAUCCAACAUGUGAAGUUUGGGGCAGAUUGGUCAUUGUAUGUCUGAGUUAUAGCAACUUCCUGUUUCAUGGCGAAUCAUCGAAAUUCGCCAGGCCGCCACACACAGGCCCUUCAACGAAAACUCAAAAGCUUCGCAAUUUAACAUCGCAAAGGCCUUUAGAUUAGGCAUACCAAAUUUGGUGUUGAUCUGAAUUAAUCUCUAGGAGGAGUUCGUUAAAAUACAACUCAUGGAAAUGACAAAAAUGACACAAAAUUUGCUCAUAAUAUUAGAAAUAACCGACUUCCUGUUGGGUUUCGGAUUUUGCUCCAAGAGACUUUUUUGUAGGUAUUGGAGAGUUACAUGUGUAUACCGAUUUUCAUACAUGUACAUGAAACGUAGCUCGAGGCGCACACCGUUGAACGUGUAUAGGUGGCGCUGUUGAGCCAUUUUGGCACACCCACUUCUGAAACCCAUAUCAGACGUAAAUUUUCGCCAGUUCUGAGGUGUGUGCAAAGUUUCAUGACUUUUCGAGCAUGUUUAGGCCCUCAAAAAUGCGAUUCAUCUUAGAGAAGAAGAAUAAUAAUAAAUAUAGCUGCAAGCAGCGAUGUCGGGCUCAAGCCAUCAGUGCAACGCCACCCUGGUGGCAUCGGGAAAACUGUGCCCAGCGGGCAUAAGCAUUUACAGUAACCCUCUGACAAUCAAGUUUUAAGGGAUGUGGCAGUUAAAGGGUUAAUCCGACCAGUCUAGACUUUGAAAUCACAUACACAGAACAAUAUAUAUAACUUUAGUAACACUUUAUUUUAAAAUGUAUAAAAAAUGUAUAAGGUGUGCAUUGUAGCUGACACCUAUAUGAACACAUUACAAUUGUUUUGUGACUACAAGUCUUUCUUCUCAAAUGCUAUUGAGUGGUCGCGAACGCGGAUGGGAGAAUGGCGCAUAUUUGUUUUGUUUUUUUUGAGCAACUGGUGCCCCCUCUGGGAGUUGGUGCUCUACGAAGACUGCAUACUCUGCAUAUAGGGAGCGGCGGUACUAUCUGGAAGAUAUAUUCCUCAAACCAUCGUACAAGUGAAGGUGAUGCUAGUCCUUCAAGAAUCGCUCAAAACCUUUUCAAGUGUACAGUUUCCUUUUAUUGCAUCUUGAAAUAAAUAUUUCUGAAUUCUGAAUCAAA